rnacentral:lncRNA from 1 species
AGAGUGCAUUCCCGGUCACCCACAUCCUGAAGACGUGUCAGGAAAACCGCAAGCUUAAGCUGUCACAGAGCCUCCUGAGACAGAUCCACCAAUUUCACUCAACAGGCUGGAGCCAACUGGCCUGAACAAGUCACAGUUCUGAAAAGCAGGCUCUCUCCCUGACUGAAUGCGAGGAAUAAUGGGAGCGUGUUCUCUUCUUGAUCAUGUCUCAACUAUUCUUGAAAAGACAAGCACCAACACCUUCCAGAAAUCCUGAGAAAUCACCAGGCAACCAUCCAAGACACAGACGGCAGCAGAGGCCAACUUAACCAUCCACACAGAAUGAAUCUAAAUAUCACAUGAAACUUUCUCUGCAAAUUAAGCGUUCUGAGAAGUCAAGCAACCACUGUCUUCUCCUUUCAUCUUCCGUUUCCUGAUCUUACCAGUGCAUCGGGUCAGGUGGUCAUAUAUGCUUAGCAGAACUGCAGGACACUGGACAUACUAUGGAGGCCUCAGCCUCUUUCUCUCCUGCUCCCUUGCUGUGGAGUAACUUCAUCCAUCACGCUGUCCUAGUGGCUUCUUCAGAUUAUCAAAGUUCCAAUAAUCGUCUCUAGGGGACAUGUCUCUAAAUGCCAUUCAGAAGUUUUAGCAUAAUUUUUAGUUGAUUCUCCCGAAUUUCCGAACACCAUGCACCCCAAACCCACUCAUUUCCCAGUCCUCCCAUAUCCUCCCUCCACCCUUGUAACCCCCAAAAGAAACAUUUUAAAAAUUAAAAAUUAAAAACAUUUCUUACCAUG